rnacentral:rRNA from 1 species
UACAGAGGUCCCAAGCGUUGUUCGGAUUCAUUGGGCGUAAAGCGUGCGCAGGCGGCUUUGCAAGACAGAUGUGAAAUCCCCGGGCUCAACCUGGGAACUGCAUUUGUGACUGCAAGGCUAGAGUACGGCAGAGGGGGAUGGAAUUCCGCGUGUAGCAGUGAAAUGCGUAGAUAUGCGGAGGAACACCAAUGGCGAAGGCAAUCCCCUGGGCCUGUACUGACGCUCAUGCACGAAAGCGUGGGGAGCAAACAGG